UACGUAGGGGGCCAGCGUUGUCCGGAUUCAUUGGGCGUAAAGCGCGUGUAGGCGGCCAGGUAGGUCCGAUGUGAAAUCUGGAGGCUCAACCUCCAGCGGUCAUUGGAAACCAUCUGGCUAGAGUCCGGAAGAGGAGAGUGGAAUUCCUGGUGUAGCGGUGAAAUGCGUAGAGAUCGGGAGGAACACCAGCGGCGAAGGCGGCGACCUGGACAGGUACUGACACUCAACUACGAAAGCGUGGGGAGCAAACAGG
rnacentral:rRNA from 1 species